UUUAUUCCACACACACCAUAUUUAUUUCAAAGUUAAUUUUCUCUCUCUUCACCAAAGAAAUCUAGAAAACUCUCUCAUUCUCAAACAAACCCUAGCCGCCGCCUCCUCCUCCUCCCUCCUUCAGUGUGUCUCCGGCGGUCGUUACAUUGCUCCACCAUCUUCAUCCUCUCCUUUUCAUCUGUAAUUAUACUCUAUCAAGUUUAUUUCAACUCAAAGAUGAUUUUAAAUUUCCCUACGACCAUCUUUUCGGCUAGAUCUUGACAUCCACGCACAAGCUUUUGAAAAUCCAUCACCAUAAAAAGAGUCCCCUCCAUCUUCUCUACAAAACCCAUUUAAAAAAAAUCAGGAACGGACAACCUUCGCCGGUGACCACCACGCCGGAGCUUGCAACCACCGCGCCGGGAAAGAGCUUACGUGGUUUCCAGAUCUGAGUCAGAAUUUUUACACAAACACUUAAACCUGGGCUGUUGUCUUCAUCAAGAAGAGGAGGCUGGUUCGCUAAGAGGAGAUUGAGGAGAUGGUGAUGCAAAUAAGAAACUAGUUCAUUGCUUGAUGUCGAAGAGAAAGAGGAUCAACAUUGUUAUCAUGUAAAAAGUUAACGGUGUUUAGACAUAUGCGGUUAUAAUAUUAUAGGAGCAGUCUUCGAUCACUUUGCAAAUCAUUUCAUGACUUCCAAGUUUGAGCAUCCUAGUGUAGAUGUCUUGAGCAUCAAGUAUCUUAGUGUGUUGGUUAAUGUAGAUUUGAUUAGACUGUUCUCUAAAGAGGAGGUUAAACAAGUGGCGUGGUGUAACCGUGACAAUUUUAAAAAUCCUAGAUCUGAUGGAAUUGAUUUUGGGUUUAUCAAAGAAAUUUGGGGUGACAUUAAGCAAGAUUUUAUGAUAUUUCUUUCAAAAUUUCAUAGAAAUGGUAUAUUGGCUAAAUGUAUGAAUUAUACCUUCAUUGGAUUAAUUCCUAAAGUGGAGAAUCCGCAAAGAUUAGGGGGAUUUCGACCAAUUUCAGUGGUAGGGUGUUUGUACAAAGUUUUAGCGAAUGUAUUAGUUAAUGAGAGUCCAACCGAUGACUUUCUCUGAAAAGAGGACUUCGACAAGGUGACCCUCUUUCUCUUUUUCUAUAUUUGUUAGUUGCAGAAAUGUUGAAUAUUAUGUUGAAUGCUAUUGUAGAGCCGGGAUUGCUCUCUUGAUGUAAAGAGCUGGAUUUUUAAUAACUCGAGUACUUAUUAGAAUGCCACGAAAUUGAUUUUAA